UUAAGUUAUUAAGGGCGCACGGUGGAUGCCUUGGCACUAGAAGCCGAUGAAGGACGUUACUAACGACGAUAUGCUUUGGGGAGCUGUAAGUAAGCUUUGAUCCAGAGAUUUCCGAAUGGGGAAACCCAGCAUGAGUUAUGUCAUGUUAUCGAUAUGUGAAUACAUAGCAUAUCAGAAGGCACACCCGGAGAACUGAAACAUCUUAGUACCCGGAGGAAGAGAAAGAAAAUUCGAUUCCCUUAGUAGCGGCGAGCGAAAUGGGAAGAGCCCAAACCAACAAGCUUGCUUGUUGGGGUUGUAGGACACUCUAUACGGAGUUACAAAGGACGACAUUAGACGAAUCAUCUGGAAAGAUGAAUCAAAGAAGGUAAUAAUCCUGUAGUCGAAAAUGUUGUCUCUCUUGAGUGGAUCCUGAGUACGACGGAACACGUGAAAUUCCGUCGGAAUCUGGGAGGACCAUCUCCUAAGGCUAAAUACUCUCUAGUGACCGAUAGUGAACCAGUACCGUGAGGGAAAGGUGAAAAGCACCCCGGAAGGGGAGUGAAAUAGAACCUGAAACCGUGUGCUUACAAGUAGUCAGAGCCCGUUAAUGGGUGAUGGCGUGCCUUUUGUAGAAUGAACCGGCGAGUUACGAUUUGAUGCAAGGUUAAGCAGUAAAUGUGGAGCCGUAGCGAAAGCGAGUCUGAAUAGGGCGUUUAGUAUUUGGUCGUAGACCCGAAACCAGGUGAUCUACCCUUGGUCAGGUUGAAGUUCAGGUAACACUGAAUGGAGGACCGAACCGACUUACGUUGAAAAGUGAGCGGAUGAACUGAGGGUAGCGGAGAAAUUCCAAUCGAACCUGGAGAUAGCUGGUUCUCUCCGAAAUAGCUUUAGGGCUAGCCUCAAGUGAUGAUUAUUGGAGGUAGAGCACUGUUUGGACGAGGGGCCCCUCUCGGGUUACCGAAUUCAGACAAACUCCGAAUGCCAAUUAAUUUAACUUGGGAGUCAGAACAUGGGUGAUAAGGUCCGUGUUCGAAAGGGAAACAGCCCAGACCACCAGCUAAGGUCCCAAAAUAUAUGUUAAGUGGAAAAGGAUGUGGCGUUGCCCAGACAACUAGGAUGUUGGCUUAGAAGCAGCCAUCAUUUAAAGAGUGCGUAAUAGCUCACUAGUCGAGUGACACUGCGCCGAAAAUGUACCGGGGCUAAACAUAUUACCGAAGCUGUGGAUUGUCCUUUGGACAAUGGUAGGAGAGCGUUCUAAGGGCGUUGAAGCAUGAUCGUAAGGACAUGUGGAGCGCUUAGAAGUGAGAAUGCCGGUGUGAGUAGCGAAAGACGGGUGAGAAUCCCGUCCACCGAUUGACUAAGGUUUCCAGAGGAAGGCUCGUCCGCUCUGGGUUAGUCGGGUCCUAAGCUGAGGCCGACAGGCGUAGGCGAUGGAUAACAGGUUGAUAUUCCUGUACCACCUAUAAUCGUUUUAAUCGAUGGGGGGACGCAGUAGGAUAGGCGAAGCGUGCGAUUGGAUUGCACGUCUAAGCAGUAAGGCUGAGUAUUAGGCAAAUCCGGUACUCGUUAAGGCUGAGCUGUGAUGGGGAGAAGACAUUGUGUCUUCGAGUCGUUGAUUUCACACUGCCGAGAAAAGCCUCUAGAUAGAAAAUAGGUGCCCGUACCGCAAACCGACACAGGUAGUCAAGAUGAGAAUUCUAAGGUGAGCGAGCGAACUCUCGUUAAGGAACUCGGCAAAAUGACCCCGUAACUUCGGGAGAAGGGGUGCUCUUUAGGGUUAACGCCCAGAAGAGCCGCAGUGAAUAGGCCCAAGCGACUGUUUAUCAAAAACACAGGUCUCUGCUAAACCGUAAGGUGAUGUAUAGGGGCUGACGCCUGCCCGGUGCUGGAAGGUUAAGAGGAGUGGUUAGCUUCUGCGAAGCUACGAAUCGAAGCCCCAGUAAACGGCGGCCGUAACUAUAACGGUCCUAAGGUAGCGAAAUUCCUUGUCGGGUAAGUUCCGACCCGCACGAAAGGCGUAACGAUUUGGGCACUGUCUCAACGAGAGACUCGGUGAAAUCAUAGUACCUGUGAAGAUGCAGGUUACCCGCGACAGGACGGAAAGACCCCGUGGAGCUUUACUGUAGCCUGAUAUUGAAAUUCGGCACAGCUUGUACAGGAUAGGUAGGAGCCUUUGAAACGUGAGCGCUAGCUUACGUGGAGGCGCUGGUGGGAUACUACCCUAGCUGUGUUGGCUUUCUAACCCGCACCACUUAUCGUGGUGGGAGACAGUGUCAGGCGGGCAGUUUGACUGGGGCGGUCGCCUCCUAAAAGGUAACGGAGGCGCUCAAAGGUUCCCUCAGAAUGGUUGGAAAUCAUUCAUAGAGUGUAAAGGCAUAAGGGAGCUUGACUGCGAGACCUACAAGUCGAGCAGGGUCGAAAGACGGACUUAGUGAUCCGGUGGUUCCGCAUGGAAGGGCCAUCGCUCAACGGAUAAAAGCUACCCCGGGGAUAACAGGCUUAUCUCCCCCAAGAGUUCACAUCGACGGGGAGGUUUGGCACCUCGAUGUCGGCUCAUCGCAUCCUGGGGCUGUAGUCGGUCCCAAGGGUUGGGCUGUUCGCCCAUUAAAGCGGUACGCGAGCUGGGUUCAGAACGUCGUGAGACAGUUCGGUCCCUAUCCGUCGUGGGCGUAGGAAAUUUGAGAGGAGCUGUCCUUAGUACGAGAGGACCGGGAUGGACAUACCUCUGGUGUACCAGUUGUCGUGCCAACGGCAUAGCUGGGUAGCUAUGUGUGGACGGGAUAAGUGCUGAAAGCAUCUAAGCAUGAAGCCCCCCUCAAGAUGAGAUUUCCCAACUUCGGUUAUAAGAUCCCUCAAAGAUGAUGAGGUUAAUAGGUUCGAGGUGGAAGCAUGGUGACAUGUGGAGCUGACGAAUACUAAUCGAUCGAAGACUUAAUCAA
rnacentral:rRNA from 1 species